rnacentral:rRNA from 1 species
CUUGAGUGAUCAGAAGUGAGAAUGUUGACAUGAGUAGCGACAAACAGGGUGAGAGACCCUGUCGCCGAAAGUCCAAGGGUUCCUGCUUAAAGCUAAUCUGAGCAGGGUAAGCCGGCCCCUAAGGCGAGGCCGAAAGGCGUAGUCGAUGGGAACCAGGUUAAUAUUCCUGGGCCAGGAGAUGGCGACGGAUCGCAGAGGUAGUUCUUCCUUAUCGGAUUGGAAGGGCUGCUGAGUGGUUCCUGGAAAUAGCCCUCCAUGAGACCGUACCCUAAACCGACACAGGUGGGCUGGUAGAGAAUACCAAGGCGCUUGAGAGAACCACAUUUAAGGAACUCGGCAAAAUACCUCCGUAAGUUCGCGAGAAGGAGGCCCCGUUUGUACGCAAGUAUGGGCGGGGGGCACAAACCAGGGGGUGGCGACUGUUUACUAAAAACACAGGGCUCUGCGAAGCCGUAAGGCGACGUAUAGGGUCUGACGCCUGCCCGGUGCCGGAAGGUUAAAAGGAGAUGUGCAAGCAUUGAAUUGAAGCCCCGGUAAACGGCGGCCGUAACAAUAACGGUCCUAAGGUAGCGAAAUUCCUUGUCGGGUAAGUUCCGACCUGCACGAAUGGCGUAACGACUUCCCCGCUGUCUCAAAUGUGGACUCAGCGAAAUUGAAUUGUCUGUGAAGAUGCAGACUUCCCGCGGUUAGACGGAAAGACCCCAUGCACCUUUACUAUAGCUUCGCACUGGCAUCAGGAUUGUGAUGUGCAGGAUAGGUGGUAGGCAUUGAAGCAGUGACGCUAGUCGCUGUGGAGCCAUCCUUGAGAUACCACCCUUCGCACUCUUGAUGUCUAACCGCGGCCCGUUAUCCGGGUCCGGGACCCUGCGUGGUGGGUAGUUUGACUGGGGCGGUCGCCUCCCAAAAAGUAACGGAGGCGCGCGAAGGUUGGCUCAGAGCGGUCGGAAAUCGCUCGUUGAGUGCAAUGGCAGAAGCCAGCCUGACUGCAAGACUGACAAGUCGAGCAGAGACGAAAGUCGGCCAUAGUGAUCCGGUGGUCCCGAGUGGAAGGGCCAUCGCUCAACGGAUAAAAGGUACGCUGGGGAUAACAGGCUGAUGAUGCCCAAGAGUCCAUAUCGACGGCAUCGUUUGGCACCUCGAUGUCGGCUCAUCUCAUCCUGGGGCUGGAGCAGGUCCCAAGGGUAUGGCUGUUCGCCAUUUAAAGAGGUACGUGAGCUGGGUUUAGAACGUCGUGAGACAGUUCGGUCCCUAUCUGCCGUGGGUGUAGGAUACUUGAGAGGAGUUGCCCCUAGUACGAGAGGACCGGGGUGAACGUUCCACUGGUGGACCAGUUGUCGUGCCAACGGCAGUGCUGGGUAGCUAUGAACGGACAGGAUAAACGCUGAAGGCAUCUAAGCGUGAAGCCCCCCUCAAAACAAGGUAUCCCUUGAGAGCCGUGGAAGACCACCACGUCGAUAGGCCGGAGAUGUAAGCGCAGCAAUGCGUUCAGUUGACCGGUACUAAUGGCUC